rnacentral:rRNA from 1 species
UACGGAGGGUGCAAGCGUUAAUCGGAAUUACUGGGCGUAAAGCGUGCGCAGGCGGUUUGUUAAGUCUGUUGUGAAAUCCCCGAGCCCAACUUGGGAAUUGCAAUGGAUACUGGCAGGCUGGAGUAUGGUAGAGGAAGGUGGAAUUCCCGGUGUAGCAGUGAAACGCGUAGAGAUCGGGAGGAACACCAGUGGCGAAGGCGGCCUUCUGGACCAAUACUGACGCUCAUGCACGAAAGCGUGGGGAGCAAACAGG